rnacentral:lncRNA from 1 species
GCUUGCCCCAUGGCGUGCCCCAUGGCUGCCCCACGGCAUGCCCUGUGGUGUCGCGCUGCCCCACAGCGUGCCUGGGGGUCACACUUGCCCCAUGGCGUGCCCCACGGCUGCCCCACGGCGUGCCCUGUGGUGUCGCGCUGCCCCACAGCGUGCCUGGGGGUCACGCUUGCCCCAUGGUGUGCCCCACGGUGUGCCCCGUGGCGUCACACUGCCCCACAGCGUGCUUGGGGGUCAUGCUGCUCCAUGGCUGCCCCACGGCGCGCCCCAUGGCGUCACGCUGCCCCACGGCGUGCCUGGGGGUCAUGCUGCUCCACGGCUGCCCCACGGCGUGCCCCAUGGCGUCACGCUGCCCCAUGGUCUGCCCCAUGGCUCACCUGGGGGUCACACCGCCCCACGGCUGCCCCACGGCCUUGCGCUGCCCCGUGAUCUGCCCCACGGCCCCCCACGGCAUCACGCUGCCCCACGGCGCCACGCUGCCCCACGGCCUGCCCCACAACCCGCUCUGGGGCCAGCUUGUGCCCCACGUCCCUGCGUCCGCCUGUCUUUCCACCGUCCCCUUGUCCGCCUGUCUCUCCGCCUGCUGCGUGUCCGACUGUCUACGGGCCUCGCAUCCGCCUGUCUCUCCCCCAGCCGCGUGUCUGGUUGUGUAUCCGUCAACCGCACGUCUGCUUGUCUUUCCCGUCACUGUGUCCGCCUGUGCUUCUCUCAACUGGGUGUCUGCUUGUCUUUCCAUCAUCUCUCUGUCUGUCUGUCUGUCAGCAGCGUGUUCGCUUGUUUCUGUUGCCCUUGUGUCCGGUUGUCUUUGUACCAACCACGUGUCUGGCUGUCUUACUACCCAGUGCAUGUCCGGGUGUCUUUCUGGUGUCUGCCUGUCUCCCCACUGUCCACCUGUUUCUUUCAACUGUGUGUCCGCUUGUCUCUCUGCCUGUCUCUUCCUUGUUCCCCUGUCCGCUUGUUUCUCCACCAAGUGUGUCUGCUUGUGYCUCUGUCUGUCUGUCUGUUCUUCUGCUUGUCUCUGUGCUGUCCCCGUGUCUGCCUGUCCCUCUGCUGUCCCCACGUCCGCCUGUCUCUCUGCCAACCCCGUCCCGGUCCCUCUGCGCUGGCCCCGGACCUCGGCGUCCCCCCUGCGUCUGUCCUUGUCCCCCCCCGUCCGU